rnacentral:lncRNA from 1 species
GCUACACAGACAGUAAACAUAAUUAUAAAAAUAAUUAUUUCUUUGUUUUGCCGCGCAAACUUUUUAUACCAAAAAAUAUAGCAUCAAAAGAUAGCCACAUCUUUCCCACUUUUACCUAUUUUCAGCUUAAUAUCAGGUAUAAACUAGUAUAAAUAAAUCAAGAUAAUAAGUUAGAAAUAACUAAUAACAAGUUAGUAAAAACAGGUAAUUCCGUGUUGCUUGGGGAAGGGAUAUGAACGGCGGGUUUGAAGAUAAUUUCGAAUUCCCAGCUAGUUGGAAAAAAAACAACAGCACCACUUAUUGUAUUGUAAACAACCGUAUUCGUUUGAGCACUUUUAAAUGCUUUGAAAAGCUUUAAAAAGUGGAAAGCACGUUCAGUUGAUAGACAAAUCCGUGAACAAAACAUCUCAGCUUGGCUGCUUGAUCAAGUCCCGGCGAAAUCAACUGUCCCUAAUGUUAACAAAGAUGAAGAAUGCCUGUAUAAUUUUACUGGUUCUUCUUGUUGCUGUCUGUUCGGCAGCACGAUUUCCAUUCCAGCAGGUAGUCGACGAUAUUCCACAGAGAUGGGAAAGGCAGUUGCGUAGAUCUAGAGUGAAAAGAUUCGAAGAAGGUGGUAUCUGUGAAGGCUGCGCUCAAAUGGUGGCCAAUGAGUGCUUUUGUUAUCAGAUAACAUACUGUGGGGUCGAGGGAUGCGUAGACACUGGCUCAUGUAACAAAUCCAACUGCCAGAGGCUGCCUUAGAAAGAAAGGUACAGAAAGUGUCCUAUAUUGAGACGCCUUCAUUUCCUUGGACGAGCUGCACGUCGUUAAAGAAAGGCUUACGUUUCGCUCGACUUUCUUAGUAUAGUUAAGCACAAUUUUAACAACCGUAAUGACUCUAGAUGUAGAAGUAGAAUAAUAAAAGCUUUAGUUUCAUUGCA